CAUCACUACGCUAGAUGCAUAUCAAUAAGCGGAGGAAAAGUAAAUGCUGUAUACCUACGCUUAGGAUGUUGACACACGCGCGUGCUCGGCUCUAUACAUGACUCUGUGCAUAUCAAUAAGCGGAGGAAAAGAAACUAACAAGGAUUCCCCUAGUAACGGCGAGUGAAGCGGGAAGAGCUCAAAUUUGAAAUCUUAAAGGGUUUCCCUUUACGAAUUGUAGUUUAAAGAAGUGUUUUCUGUUGAGGUUUUGGUAAAAGUUCUUUGGAAUAGGACAUCAUAGAGGGUGAGAAUCCCGUAUUUGACCUUUACUUUCAACUUUGUGAUACACUUUCAAAGAGUCGGAUUGUUUGGGAAUGCAGUCCAAAAUGGGUGGUAAAUUUCAUCUAAAGCUAAAUAUUGGCGAGAGACCGAUAGCGAACAAGUACCGUGAGGGAAAGAUGAAAAGAACUUUGAGAAGAGAGUUAAACAGUACGUGAAAUUGUCAAAAGGGAAGCGUUUGACACCAGUGUUGUUUUUCUGAAAAUCAAUUAAAGAACUGUUUAUGCUAAGUUGUUUAGACUUUAUCAGCUAACUGUUUAGUUUUGAGCUUUUCUUUAAUGCACUUUUCAGUUAACAAGUCAACAUCAAUUUCUUUUGCUGUAAAGAAGCUUGAGGAAGGUGGCUUGAGAUUCGUCUUAAGUGUUUAUAGCCUCUUGCCUAUGCAGUCGGAGAGAUUGAGGUCUGCAGCGUAGAUCCUUCGGGGCUAAAUGCAUUUGUGCUAAGUUAUAGCAUUUUAUAGACAACUUGUUGACUAUGAUUUGUCUUGUAGCUUACUCGCUUAUGUUAUUUUACCUACGCUUAGGAUGUUGAUCUCUCACAGUCGAGC
rnacentral:rRNA from 1 species